UACGAAGGGGGCUAGCGUUGCUCGGAAUCACUGGGCGUAAAGGGUGCGUAGGCGGGUCUUUAAGUCAGGGGUGAAAUCCUGGAGCUCAACUCCAGAACUGCCUUUGAUACUGAAGAUCUUGAGUUCGGGAGAGGUGAGUGGAACUGCGAGUGUAGAGGUGAAAUUCGUAGAUAUUCGCAAGAACACCAGUGGCGAAGGCGGCUCGCUGGCACGGUACUGACGCUGAGGUGCGAAAGCGUGGGGAGCAAACAGG
rnacentral:rRNA from 1 species